AAUGAACGCUGGCGGCAUGCCUAACACAUGCAAGUCGAACGAGACAUUCGGGCCUAGUGGCGCAUGGGUGCGUAACGCGUGGGAACCUGCCCUUAGGUUUGGAAUAACUCCCCGAAUGGGGUGCUAAUACCGGAUAAUGUCUCCGGACCAAAGAUAUAUCGCGUUUGGAUGGGCUCGCGUGGGAUUAGUUUGUUGUUAGGGUAAAAGCCUACCAAGGCGACGAUCCAUAGCUGGGUUGAGAGGAUGAUCAGCCACACUGGGAUUAAGACACGGCCCAGACUCCUACGGGAGGCGGCAGUGGGGGAUAUUGGACAGUGGGCGGAGGGCUGAUGGAGCAAUGCCGCGAAAGUGAUGAAAGCCUUGAGGAAGUAAAGCUCUUUUACCCGGGAUGGUAUUGACAGUACCGGGAGAAUAAGCUCCGGCUAACUCCGUG
rnacentral:rRNA from 1 species